AGCGAACGCUGGCGGCAGGCCUAACACAUGCAAGUCGAACGGAUCCUUCGGGAUUAGUGGCGGACGGGUGAGGAACACGUGGGAACGUGCCUUUUGGUUCGGAACAACUCAGGGAAACUUGAGCUAAUACCGGAUGUGCCCUUCGGGGGAAAGAUUUAUCGCCAUUAGAGCGGCCCGCGUCUGAUUAGCUAGUUGGUGGGGUAAAGGCUCACCAAGGCUACGAUCAGUAGCUGGUCUGAGAGGAUGAUCAGCCACACUGGGACUGAGACACGGCCCAGACUCCUACGGGAGGCAGCAGUAGGGAAUCUUGCGCAAUGGGCGAAAGCCUGACGCAGCCAUGCCGCGUGAAUGAUGAAGGUCUUAGGAUUGUAAAAUUCUUUCACCGGGGAAGAUAAUGACGGUACCCGGAGAAGAAGCCCCGGCUAACUUCGUGCCAGCA
rnacentral:rRNA from 1 species